rnacentral:rRNA from 1 species
UACGUAGGAGGCAAGCGUUGUCCGGAGUUACUGGGCGUAAAGCGCACGCAGGCGGUCUUGUCAGUCUGUAGGGACAGGGCACGGCUCAACCGUGUCAGGCUUAUGGCAAACUGCAAGACUUGAGGGCUUCAGAGGGAUGGGGAAUUCCGGGUGGAGUGGUGAAAUGCGUAGAGAUCCGGAAGAACACCAAAGGCGAAGGCACCAUCCUGGGGAGUCACUGACGCUCGGGUGCGAAAGCUAGGGGAGCGAACGGG